rnacentral:piRNA from 1 species
AUAGGGUGUGCGCCGAAAGCCUACUUUCUGUUAAUCCUUAGUCAUCAAAUAUCUAACAUGGAACGUAUCAAGUAGUGGUUUGAGAAGAUAGACACAUGUUGGCGAUUUCACUAGCCCCGCUUCAGUCAGUGUGAUGCGGCGGGGAUUGGUAGUAGCAGAUAUAGCAUGGACCCUACAAAGUAAUUGUCGAUUUCACUAGCCCCGCUUCAGUCAGUGUGAUGCGGCGGGGAUUGGUAGUAGCAGAUAUAGCAUGGACUCUACAAAGUAAUUGGCGAUUUCACUAGCCCCGCUUCAGUCAGUGUGAUGCGGCGGGGAUUGGUAGUAGCAGAUAUAGCAUGGACCCUACAAAGUAAUUGGCGAUUUCACUAGCCCCGCUUCAGUCAGUGUGAUGCGGCGGGAAUUGGUAGUUGUGGAUAUAGCAUGGACCCUACAAAGUAAUUGGCGAUUUCACUAGCCCCGCUUCAGUCAGUGUGAUGCGGCGGGAAUUGGUAGUUGUGGAUAUAGCAUGGACUCUACAAAGUAAUUGGCGAUUUCACUAGCCCCGCUUCAGCCAGUGUGAUGCGGCGGGAAUUGGUAGUUGUGGAUAUAGCAUGGACUCUACAAAGUAAUUGGCGAUUUCACUAGCCCCGCUUCAGUCAGUGUGAUGCGGCGGGAAUUGGUAGUUGUGGAUAUAGCAUGGACCCUACAAAGUAAUUGGCGAUUUCCCUCGCUUCAGCCAGUGUGAUGUAGUAUACUUCACAAACUGGUAGUUUGAGUCGGCACAGAGAAGCCAUUCGGAGAUCUCCUGAGCCCCAAACUUCCACAACAUUAGCGGCGAUAAUUGAUGGCAAUCAUUUUUUCUUAUAAAAAAAAAUAUCUUGAAAACAUUCUUGUUGACCCAACAAUAAAGAUGCUACCACUUCAAUACCAUAAAAUUAUUAUGAAAUAUAUAUUCCAAAUUUUGAAAAUAGAGCAAUCCAUAAAUAAAUCUUUAAAUAAAAAGGCAUAUAUUGGAUGUAUUUGAUAUAUAUUGGAUAUGAUAUGAUAUAUAUUGAAUGUAUAUUUACCUUCCAAUGGCUUAACGACUACCAGUUGUCUUCAUAUUUGAUAGGAAUAUCAUACUAAGUCACUCAGGGACGUUGACACUGUAGUAACCUUUAAUGUCACAAGGAGUGUAAUAAAGUCUCACAUGUUUUCUCAGACAAAAGUCUUCAUAGAGAUAUAAAUUCACCUUUAUUCUCUUGUAUUCCUUCGCGCAGAAAUAUUUACCCAAACAUUAUUUAUUUUAAUUGCAUAUAUGGAAAAAUAUUUAAUGCUUGUAAAUAUUUGCGAGCGAUGAAACCAAUUUACUUCGUUCAUAAUAUAUUUUAUCAUAAACACAAGGUAAUACGAACAAAUUCAAAUAAAUAAAUAAUGUGUGACGUUUCGGUAACAGCGUUGUUACCAUCUUCAGACAAAAGUGCUGUUUAUUUAUUUGGAUUUGGUCUUAUUACCUUGUGUUUAUAAUCUAUAAUCCAAAUUGUGCCUUAUCAUAUUUUAUCAUAAAUAUUUCCACUAUAAUUUCUUUACAUAUUCAUCCGAAUAAAGAAAAAUUGUUGAAACAAUAGCUUAUUGCUUUCCUCUUUUAUUGAAAAAAAAUCCCCCUAAAUAGUAAAUAAAAUGAAAAAUGUAACAAAUCAUAUAUACCCUUAAAAAGAGACAGAAAAUUCGAAGAGUCCAGUUGUCCCUGAUAUCCACAUCGCCAUCUGAGGGACGACCAUAGACAUAAUAGACCGGCGGUGUGCCCCGGACGUCCUUCCGGGGUCCAUUAUGUCCCACCGUCCCUUCCGUGCCUCACCUCCGACCGAAAUCAAUUUGAAACUCAACGUUUGUCCAUUAAUGAAGUUGAAGAUACUCAUUUGAAACAUUUUGGAACCUGGAGAUCUACCAAAGACAGAGCCAACGUGCCACGUUUUGAUCAAAAUGGCAAAUAUUGACUCAUACCAAAGAUACAUCACCAUUGUUGAAAUAUCCAAGACGAUUGAGUCAAUAUAUAAAUAAAACUUACUCUUUUUGAAAGAGAGACAAUAACUAGAUUGACUUUGCAAUAUAGAAUGUUUACCUAUAACCUUUUUAUAAGGUGUCAAGAUUUCUGUCAAAUUUAAGAAAGGAAUGAAGAUAAUUUCCACGUGCAGAAUUUUUAAGAAGGCUGAAUUAUCGAUGUGGAUGACUGAAUACGUUGAAUAGGCUUUUCUUCCAUUGAUGAUAAUGAUGCAGAUCCUGACGUACGUGGUCUGCGAGAUGGCACGAAGGAACUACAUUACUAUUUGUAUUUGAAGACAUAAUGGAACUUCUUUUGAGAACAAAUUUCAUUCUUUCGCGCAAAAUUCAAAACUAUUUCAACCAUACUCUGAUCGAAGUAGGCUGAAUUGAAUUCGGCCCGAUAGCCUAAUAAAAAAAGUGGAGGCUUGCGCGAAAAAAAUCAAAAUCAUUGGCCAUCUCAAUUCACUGAUAAUAUAACAGAUUUAUUUCUUCAAAUUCUUCUCGAGAAAUGGCUAUGGGCACCAGAUUGGAAUCUUACCUUGUGUGGCAGACAUUCUAGCAUUCCAGCACUUAGAUUUGCUCAAAAUUCAAAUAUGAUCAAAAUUGGCGUUCUAAACUGUCUUGAAAUCGUCAUUUUCUUGUGCUGAUAAUUGGCAGCAGGUCUAAGGCUGGAGUUUCCUCCGGAUGUCGCGUCAAUUCCGUCCGUGGAGCCUGCACGUGAGUUCACUUCUUUCUUUCAGCUUAGUUUCUUCACAGAGAGGAUUGUUGUUGUCGUGUCCAAAGAAGAGUCUCAGAUGUCUCCAGGCAUCUCCAUCACAGCAGCAGAGGAUUCACUUUGUGUAAUUGAUCGACACAAACAUGGGAGGGUCGCCAUUUUAUAAUAAUGAACAUUUAAGGAAUCUCUAUUAGAUUUCUUAUGCAUGGGCCUCUCUAUUAGACAAGAUAUAUUUUGACUAAAUAUGACACAGCCCUAUAUAUGACUUAUUAUAAAGAGAAAUCAAUAAGAAUAUAUACCAUCCAAGACACACAAUAUUGUCUACCAGGUAUCGGUUACUACGUUAUUAUCGUACAAUAGAAUUCUUUAUUAUUUUUUUUUUCGGUAGAAAACCUCAUCAAUUUUUCAGAAUCCAUUAUUAAAUAAAAAUAUAUUCAUUGUGGGUGUAUGAAAAUAUUUUUGACAAUUGAAAUUAGGUAAAUAAAUGAAAUAUAUAAUUCACUACUUAUCCAAACAUUCUAAAUCUGAAGCCAAGAUGCUACAGGCGUGAAAUCUACACAAUAGGAAGCUGCUGUGAUAUGAGAAUGAUUAGAUCUUUAACGCAUUUAUCCUAUAUAGGCGCCGGUAGCGAUACCUACAAUGUGUUGAACAGAAUAAAUUGUGCAAAGAAAUUUCAUUAAAAAUGCACUUCGCUGUAAAAGGUUGUUGUGAUGCCUCGUGUAAGAAAGAGAAAUGCCUUUUAAUAUGUUUCUGAGUUUGAGAGAGGUAGAAUUGUAGCCCCAACCGGAUUUGCGGUUUAUUGUACCGCAGUAUUGCUCACGUCGGUCGAGAUCCCAUGGCUGUUAGCAGAAUAUGGAAUCGGUAGGUUCAGGACAGUGGUCAUACGGAACGAUGGUACUGUGUCUCAGGGGCAUGCUAUAACUAACAGCCGAGAAGACGAUAUGUUACCGCAUGGCCUUAAUGUAUCGUUUAGAAAUGGGGUCGUUUGCAAAUCAAAAAUUCCUUCACGAAGAGUUCGACUAAGAUUGCAGCAGGAUAAUGAACGACUGAAUGCUGACAGUAUGGUACAGACCUUCCUACAUAAGAUAAUGUUCGGCUGGUGCCCUGGCAAGCACGUUCUCCUAAUCUGUCAACAAUAGAAACGUCUGGUCAACGGUUGCCGAGCAAAUGGCUUGUUGAAACACACCAGUUAUUACUGUCGAUAAACUGUGACAUCGUGUUGAAGCUGCACGGUAUGCUGUUUCUCUUCGGCCAAGUUUUUAAAACCUUUAAAGCUCCGGAAGACCACUCUUCUCUUUAAGUAGUAGUGCCGCAGGUAAAGUGGCUCAAACUUCUUACCUGCACACAACUACUUACCUAGAAGUUGUUGGUCGUGUCCACCUACAGCCGAUGUGUUGAAGGUAAGUCGCUGAGGUGCAUUAGCGUGGCCUCACUACAACCUGCACAUCUACCCAGUAAUUGUUGGUCAUGUCUGCUUCAUCAGCCACAGCCGGCGUGUUGAAGGUAAGUCGCUGAGGUGCAUUAGCGUGGCCUCACUACAACCUUCACACCUACCCAGUAAUUGUUGGUCAUGUCUGCUUCAUUAGCCGGCGUUGUUGAAGGUAAGUCGCUGAGGUGCAUUAGCGCGGCCCCAGUACAACCUGCACACCUACCCAGUAAUUGUUGGUCAUGUCCACCUACAGCCGGCGUUGUUGAAGGUAAGUCGCUGAGGUGCAUUAGCGCGGCCUCACUACAACCUGCACACCUACCCAGUAAUUGUUGGUCAUGCCUACCUACAGCCGGCGUUGUUGAAGGUAAGUCGCUGAGGUGCAUUAGCGCGGCCUCACUACAACCUGCACACCUACCCAGUAAUUGUUGGUCAUGUCUGCUUCAUUAGCCGACGUUGUUGAAGGUAAGUCGCUGAGGUGCAUUAGCGUGGCCCCACUACAACCUGCACACCUACCCAGUAAUUGUUGGUUAUGUCUGCUUCAUUAGCCGGCGUUGUUAAAGGUAAGUCGCUGAGGUGCAUCAGCGCGGCCCCACUACAACCUGCACACCUACCCAGUAAUUGUUGGCCAUGUCUGCUUCAUCAGCCACAGCCGGCGUUGUUGAAGGUAAGUCGCUGAGGUGCAUAAGCGCGGCCCCAGUACAACCUGCACACAACUACUUACCUAGUAAUUGUUGGGCAUGUCUGCUUCAUCAGUCACAGCCAGUUUUGUUCCAGGUAAGUUGAUGUGUUUUUCAUUCUGAUUUGAUAUUUCCUCCGUUUUUAUGUCACUGAGAGUUCCAUGAUUAUGUAUGACGCUUCCACAAAAAAUAUCUCGUUAUUAUUUAGCUUCAGCUGUCCUAAUUAUUUUUGUGUAUGUGAUGGCAAAUAUGAAUUUAAAAAUAAGUCUGUGUAGACAACAAUCAAUCUGUCACCACUUUCUGAAUUGGGAAUUCCUAAGAGGUUCAAUCAUAUUUUCUUAAAAAUAGCUUUUCCUGAAGCUAUUGGGUUUGCGACGUCCAACAAGUUAUUGGUUAUGUAAUUUCCGCCGUUCAUAUUGGAGAAACAUAUAAGGAGCCUUUGCCAAAAUUAAUUCUUACUAAUCCUUCCAUAAGUUUUGAAUGAUGAGUAGCACCAAACUAGUUAAUUGUAACUGGUCUUCGAGGUAGAGCCUGGAUAUAUUUCCUUUAUUAAUCAAGUGACCAUAUAUUUGUCUAACAUUCUGUAAUAAUUUUAAAAAAUUAAAGUUUUAUUUAUUCUGACAGAUAGCGAAAUCCAUCAUCAACUUUCAUUUGCAGGUUCUGGAGAUGCUUUUCUUGACUUAUCAUGUAUUUGGUAGAAUUAUAAAGUAUGUUAAUUAACACGAUAUUAAUCUUUAAAAUAGUGUUUUUGUUUUAUUUAAGUAAGAAAUGAUUCCGUGUUGAAUUUCUCCCUCCGUUGUUCUCUCUGCUAAUAGCGAUAGGAACGCCACUAGGUCUGGUCACCUCUACAUCCCAAAGUGGUGAAACGCUCUGGAGCUGAAUUCAUCUAGAACAAGGUUUGAAGUUGGAAUAUAUGCAGUUUUACAUCCUAUUCGUCUUUUUAUCGUUUGUAUUUUAAAAUUUUAGUGUCAUAAAAACAAUGGCAAUCAAUCUUUCAGGAUAUCUCAUUUGAUAUGGCCGAUAUGGUGAAGUGUCCGCUACAGAAUGGACGGCGGCAGGGAGGGAGAGUUCACCGGACGGGGUCACCGCGCCCAGUGUAUGGGACUUCCUGUCACGGCACCGUGUCCCUGGGUGGAUCACUCUGAAGUCUAGAUUGUGUCAACUUUUAUAUAUCGCUGUGAAUAAAGUUAUCAGGAUACUUUUCGCACAAACAUUUACAAAAUAUUUUAUUAGGGCGCCCAAAAUUCUAUAAUUAUUUUCUAUGAUGAUGUUAUAAUAUAGACAUAACCUUUAUUUCAUGUUAAUUCAACAGCAGGUAAAUGCAUUUCUUAUAGCUGGUAUGAUGGAAGACUGUCUCUCCAAAUUAGUAUGAAAUACAUAAUGGGUAUAAAUUAGGACACUUCUCGCGUUCAUUAAUAAAAUCCAAAAGCUUCAAGUGCGCUAUUUAAAACCAUAAACUUGCUCUAUCUAUAUAAAGUAAUGAAAAUUUGACAGAGAAUUUCUCCUCAAACAGACAAGAGGUUUAUCUCCGAGCACGGAGUGAGGAUGAUAGAGGCCAGAAAGCCCUUGCAUCCUUUGGCCAUGGCCGUGUCAAUGGAAACUCGGUAAUCAGCCCUUACCUCCCUCAUCAUACAUGCUAGUAGAAUUUCCACCUUUGCCCACUCUGUUCACUUACCCAUAUAGAUUCGAACAGAAGCUGCACGAUCAUUAUUUCGCUCCAGAAGACUAAGUUAUCCAGCGGAGACCCCAGGAAGGCUACGCCUACAUCGAUCUUUCCUGACAGUUAAGAUAAACUGCCGUCCUUGGUCAUGUAUUUGCAAACACAUUUCUUUAGUGGACAUCGAUGUCUGUAAACCCAUGUAGACUCCUCUCAGUCGUCAUCUCGUGUCCCCAAUACUCUGCUGUCAUAUGAUAUAAAAUAGAACGAGAUCAAGUAAAAUUAAUAUAGUCGGUUGAGAUCUUACAUCCAUUUAGUGAAGAAGCUAUAUAAACCAGUUAUAAACAGGUUUUCAAAUCUCAAUAACAUUCUCUAGAUGGCUCACUUUAUCGAAAUAAGCUUGAGGUUAAUUCAAAACGUCCACAAUAAUAUUGAACCUUUAGAAUAUUUAUUGUUUAUAUAACAAAUGUUUUUUGAAUUGUUAUUAUUGAGUAUUUUGUUUAAUAAUUCUGUCUUUUACAGAUGUCACAGCCCGCCAUACAGCCAGUUACCACGUGGAUCCAAGGACUCCGCUGCUACAGUCGGCAACUACUGUAGUCCAACCUAGCGAACUUCAGAAAGUAAACAAAGACCUGAGGCCUAACGUGCCCUGAUGUUAGGGUGCUCAGGCGACCGAAAGAUCAUCUCCCACCCUCUUCCCAAUCUCAUCGACUCCCACUGGCGCCUUUCACACUUGGGGCCGUUGAGAUCAAGCUUUGCGGAGACAAAUCGCCGUCACUCUCCGUGGUGAGAUUUAACAUCGCUGGUCUAAUUUGGUCAUUCAACCAUCCAACUUCUAUUGGUGGUCAAAUAUAAAAUUCCGUCACUCUCUGGUAGAAGUCCGAAAUUUCACAUCGCAGGUCUAACUGGUCAUUUAACCACACAACUUCCAUACAGUGGUCGAAUACAAACCGCUACCAGUCUCUGGUAGAAGGUCGAGAAUUCACAUCGCAGGUCUAACUGGUCAUUUAACCACACAACUUCCAUACAGUGGUCGAAUACAAACCGCUACCAGUCUCUGGUAGAAGGUCGAGAAUUCACAUCGCAGGUCAACUUGGGGUCAGUUGGCCAUUUAUCCUCAUCAUAGGUGCUCGAAGACAAAUCACUUCUUCCUUGAGAGCCGAAACCUGCUGACGUCAAAUAUAAGGCUAUUACCAACCACUCCAAGCUUUCUAACUCCAGGGACCCCAGGCAAAUAGGACUGCCAACUCAAUCAUGCUUUUAUUAAUUCAGGAUGGACUCUCGAGGAGGUGUCGGUCAGCGCAAGUCAGCACGAGUUACUGAGCUCCGAGUGACAUUGUCUCUCUAUAGAAAAGGACCGCUAGAGGUGCAACCUAUUUCAUAAUAAGCUAUUCUUUAAGAGAAGAAGCCAUGGGGUUCUUGUAGAUCAAUAAAAAUUUUGUUAUAAAAAUCUAUUAAACAGAGAGUGAUUAUUUUGAAGUCAAAUUAUUUGGAAAAUACAUGAGCUGUUUUAAGCUUUUCAGUUAUGUAUGACGAAUGCUGUUUAUUUGUUAAUUGAACUGAUCUCCUACGUCAUUGGACGAAUGUGGCCAUGUUUGUGUAUAAAGUGGGUUCAAAGGGAAGACGUCUGCGAGUUAUGAUUGUGUGGAAAUGCUUAAAGCGUUCUCUGUGUCCGUGUCUGGUGAUUUCCUCGCAUACCUAUGUGUUCCGCUCUUUAUCAGCGCUGCAAUAAAAGAUGAGUAUUGGUCUUGUUAUAAAUAAUCGUGUUUUUUUUUAUUUAUACCUCCAUUUUUUUUUGUUCUUUUGAGUGUAAGCCUUUAUGUGUGUUGAGUUACUUUACUUUAGAUUCUAAUACCUUUUACUUAUUUGCAUAAAUCCCGUCUAGGUAACCUUUGUCAGGGAUCCCUUGCCUUCAGCCGCUGAUUAUGAAGUAAUUUUUGAACGCGGCAUGGAUUAGCUGCUAACGACCAGCUUUAUCAUCUCUUUUGCCAUCAGAACACCUCGGGCUUUAUACAUUGGAAUUGGUGUUUAGGAACAUUUGAGCGUAUUUAUUGCCACAACAAUCAUGUCAUCUGGGUUGGCUCUGCAUCAAUCCUUUCUUUGUAUUGUCGCUUCAGGGAUGAAUAAAUUGACUGAGAUCAAGGUCAAAUAUCUAUAUAAAAGUGGUGUCAUUUAUUCAGAAAUGAUGAUACAAUA